UCCAGAGAAACAGAAACCUUGAAGAAAAAAAAAAAAGAAUCUUCAAUAUGGAGAUGGCUGCUUGAUUUCAGAAAUGCUGCAGACACACUCGAGAGCAUGUCCUUAAAUGCAAAGUACAAAUGAGUCAGUGGUCGUGCACCGACGAGCAAGGAGUUGGAGGGCAGCUGGUCUUGAGCAAUAGAAGCUGCAGUGGCCGUAGAGAGGAAUGGGAAGGACACCAGCCUGCAGGUCAGAAGGUGACAUGCAUGCAUAAGUGUACUUCUGUAAAUGCACAGACACUCUGAAAGAAUCCACAAGAAACUGUAACAGAGGCUGCUGCUGCGGUAGGUCCUGAAGUGGGAACCUGGUGAGUCAGGGUGGGGAAAAAAUAUUUUGUGUGUAUACCCUUUCUUAAAUUUAAAAAUUUUAUAUAUAUGCAUAUCUAUAUACCCCUUUAAGAAAAUGAAUAAUAGUGUCCAAAGACAGAGUGAGGAAGAAUACAUAUGAAUGUGUGUGUUUGACUCUUCAUUAAAUUAGGUGGAUCAUUUUCUCCCUCCAGACCUUAGAAGCCUCUUUUCUAAACUGAAGUGGGCUAGAGGUUAGAUGGUUAGAUAGCAUCACAGAUUCAAUGGACAUGAACUUGGCUCUGGGAGAUAGUGAGGGACAGGGAGGCCUGGCAUGCUGCAGUCCAUGGGGUCACAAAGAGUUGGGUUAGGGUUAGCGACACACCUUAGCAACAGAACAAUAAAAAAGUUUAGACUAGAGACAUAGUUAAUAUUUGUUAAAUCAGGGACUCCACAAUUAUAGAAAAUAAAAAUCUUCAUCUGAUUCUGACAGUGGAGAGAGAUAACAUAUGUAGUUAAUAAUAGCAAUAUGAAUCAAAAGCCAUAUCUUGCUAGCCAUGAAGUUCAAAAUUCAGUGGUUAUAUACUGAGCAGCUGCUCUGAGAAGGAGCACUCAGGAAGUAAGAGGGGAAGGGAGAAAUUGCUUCUUAUUGGGUGGACGCUGUGGGGGACUAGAGGGCAAAAUAUCUAGUAGCCCAAAGGGCAGUACAAAACAGCAUGUUCAUGGGCAUAAUGGCCUAAGACCAUGGUCACCUAACUGCAAUUAUGACUUCACAAGAGCCUCUGUCUGUCCUUUCUUUAUCUAGGAGCAAACUAUGGUGUGUCUGCCUUUGACCAGCCCAGUUGAUGGUGUCUUAUAGGUUUCCUGUAACUAGGCUCUAUACUCAUCCCUCAGGGUCUUUGCUUGCCCACGCUUCAGACAUCUCCUAGCUUUAUUCUCACCCACUCUAAUUCCAUUACAGCUUUCACCAGUGAAGACUCAGCUCACGUCUCUGGCCCUGCACUUUCUUUAGCUGGUUUUUGAAUGGCAGAAGUGAUUUCACCCUUAGUCAUGUAAGACUGAAUGUCUGCCACCUAACUUGGGCCAGAGCAUGUGGAAAAGAGCCUAAGCUUCAAAGCCCGUCAGGCCAGACUUACAUUCACAUUUUAAAGGUGUCCUCACUUGGCCAUAGAAAUAUGACUCAGCUGCUUAAAAUCUCCAUGCCUGCUGCUUCAUUUGUAAUGUAAUCCCUUAGUUAUGCACCAUGAAUCUGGAAAGAUCCAUUAACACAGGCUCUUCUGGAUAAAAGCACCCUUAUUUGAACACGUGGAGAAUCUAGAGCACAAGCCUCAACCUUGGCACUAUCAACUUUUUGAACCAGAUCAUUCUUCGCUGUGGAGGGCUGGUGUAUGUUGUAGGAUUUUUAGCAGCAUCCCUAGCCUGUACCCACUAGAUGCUGGUAGCAGUGCCCCAAAUCCAUAUGUGACAACCAGUAAGCAACUAGACAUUGCCAAAUGUAGUGUCUCUGGGGGUGGACAUUUAGUAAUCACUACAAGUUGAACACUACUGAUUCAGAGGAUUAUCUUCCUAUCAAGUUUCAUUUUGGUUUGUACAGAGUCAGACUAGGGUGGGUGUCUGAACAAUACUGUCUUUUUCUGACGUUCCCUUCUUUGUGUCUUCAAUCCAGCUUCAUUAGGCAGCUCUCUAGGGCAGUGGGGACUUGGUUGCCUCAAGAGUUCACUUAAGGCUUUCAGAAUUCAGGGAGAGCCUUGACAAGGCAAACAAACUUGGUCUUGCUGAUAUUGACCAACUCUUAGGUAAAGCUUCCACAUGUUUUUACUGUAACCAAGUUUCUAUCUUGGUGAAGCUCAGCAGGAAAGCAGGGAAUAAGGACAGACAGAAAAUUCCAAGAGUCAUCUCUCCUCUUUCUUUCAUUCUUUCUUUCUAGGAUUCAGAAUACAGUGCUUCCUGCCAACCAGCUGCCAUCUCUCUCCCCACUCAAUCAGACUGGUGACCAACAGCAUCCACAUCAAAAUCUAUAGGCUGUGACUUAGGUUUUGGACUCUGCUUGGAUUGAUUAUAGUCAUCAGGUCUUGAAGUCAGUCUGAGGAAUUUGUACUCUCAAUGGGAUGGUUGAGAGAGGAGAACAUUUCUAUGGUGGGAGGGUAACAGUGUUAAGUGCAUCAAAGUCAUUGUGGGCGAUGGGAACCAAGGAACCCUUCUAGACGAGUUGAUCAAGAUGGCACUCAUGAUGUUCUAAGAUGAUGCUCCAGUGAGAAAAGAGGGUAGGAACCAGACGAUAGGCUAGAGAAAGUGUUUAAAAUGAAAGGAGAUAUGAGGAGAAUGGGGGCAGUGGCUUAGACUCAUCUUUAUCAAGAAGAAGGUAGGUGCCCACAACAUAGAUUGGUUUCUUUUAAUUAAUUUAUUUUAAUAGGAGGAUAAUUACUUUACAAUAUUGUGAUG
ensembl:lncRNA